CGCUGGCGGUAGGCUAACACAUGCAAAGUCGAAACGGGCAGCACAGGAGAGCUUGCUCUCUGGGGUGGGCGAGUGGGCGACGGGGUGAGGGAAAUACAAUCGGAAAUCACCCUUUUCGUGGGGGAUAACGUAGGGAAACUUACGCUAAUACGCAUACGACCUUCGGGUGAAAGCAGGGGGACCUUCGGGCCUUGCGCGGAUAGAUGAGCCGAUGUCGAUUAGCUAGUGCGGGUAAGGCCACCAAGGCGACGAUCCGUAGCUGGUCUGAGAGGAUGAUCAGCCACACUGGAACUGAGACACGGUCCAGACUCCUACGGGAGGCAGCAGUGGGGAAUAUUGGACAAUGGGCGCAAGCCUGAUCCAGCCAUACCGCGUGGGUGAAGAAGGCCUUCGGGUUGUAAAGCCCUUUUGUUGGGAAAGAAAAGCAGUCGGUUAAUACCCGGUUGUUCUGACGGUACCCAAAGAAUAAGCACCGGCUAACUUCGUGC
rnacentral:rRNA from 1 species